AUUGAACGCUGGCGGCAGGCCUAACACAUGCAAGUCGAACGAGGGGCGGACGGGUGAGUAAUGUCUGGGAAACUGCCUGAUGGAGGGGGAUAACUACUGGAAACGGUAGCUAAUACCGCAUACCAUCGGAUGUGCCCAGAUGGGAUUAGCUAGUAGGUGGGGUAAAGGCUCACCUAGGCGACGAUCCCUAGCUGGUCUGAGAGGAUGACCAUCCACACGGUAACUGAGGCACGGUCCAGACGCCUACGGGAGGCAGCAAUGGUGAAUAUUGCACGAUGGGCGCAAGCCUGAUGCAGGCAUGCCGCGUGGAUGAAGAGGACCUUCGGGUUGUAAAGUACAUUCAGCGGGGAGGCGUAACCCGCAGAGGACGCACCGGCUAACUCCGUGCCAGCAGCCGCGGUAAUUC
rnacentral:rRNA from 1 species